CCUACGGGGGGCAGCAGUGAGGAAUAUUGGUCAAUGGGAGGAAUCCUGAACCAGCCAUGCCGCGUGCAGGACGACGGCUCUACGAGUUGUAAACUGCUUUUGUACCGGGGUAAAAUGCCUUACGUGUAGGGUUUUGAAAGUACGGUACGAAUAAGGAUCGGCUAACUCCGUGCCAGCAGCCGCGGUAAUACGGAGGAUCCGAGCGUUAUCCGGAAUGAUUGGGCGUAAAGGGUGCGCAGGCGGUCCUGCAAGUCUGGAGGGAAACGGAUGAGCUCAACUCAUGCAUGGCUUUGGAAACUGGAGGACUGGAGAGCAGGAGAGGGCGGUGGAACUCCAUGUGUAGCGGUAAAAUGCGUAGAUAUAUGGAAGAACACCAGUGGCGAAGGCGGCCGCCUGGCCUGUUGCUGACGCUGAGGCACGAAAGCGUGGGGAGCAAAUAGGAUUAGAUACCCCUGUAGUC
rnacentral:rRNA from 1 species